GGGGAAAUAGCUCAGUUGGUAGAGCAUAACCUUGCCAAGGUUAGGGUCGCGAGUUCGAGGCUCGUUUUCCGCUCCA
rnacentral:tRNA from 1 species